AAACUCAAAGGAAUUGACGGGGACCCGCACAAGCAGCGGAGCGUGUGGUUUAAUUCGUUGCUACACGAAGAACCUUACCUGGGUUUGACAUAUAGGUUGUAGGGAACUGAAAAGGGACCGACCCUUCGGGAGCCUAUACAGGUGUUGCAUGGCUGUCGUCAGCUCGUGUCGUGAGACGUUCGGUUAAGUCCGCUAACGAGCGCAACCCUCGUCGUAUGUUAUAUGUGUCAUACGAGACUGCCGGUAAAAAGCCGGAGGAAGGUGAGGAUGAUGUCAAGUCAGCAUGACCUUUAUAUCCAGGGCUACACACACGCUACAAUGGUCUGUACAAUGGGUAGCCAAGCCGCGAGGCGGAGCCAAUCCUGAAAGCAGGCCUCAGUUCAGAUUGCAGUCUGCAACUCGACUGCAUGAAGCCGGAGUUGCUAGUAACCGCAGGUCAGCAAUACUGCGGUGAAUACGUUCCCGGGUCUU
rnacentral:rRNA from 1 species